rnacentral:lncRNA from 1 species
UUUGAACCAUGAUUCCAUGAAUUCCCUUCCCUUCCCUUCCCUCGCCUCUAUGUAAAUAGGGUUGAUGAUAAUUGACACAUAAUUACCACCUCACUUUUCCUGUGAAGAAAGAAGCAAGCAAGGGUCGGUGGGUCAACAAAGUGAAAAUCUUUGAAUAUCAUCUACAUGGAUGCAUCUCUAUAAUAUUCAAUUCAUCAACAUAGAGAAAGAGAGGGAGACAGAUGAGAUGGGUCCCAGCCAUGCCAAGCCGCACGGGCAGCGGCAGCGAGCAGUGAGUCCAGUCCUGCUGUGAACGUACGUAUUUUUUCUCUACCCCCUCUCUUACCCAUUAUUUCCAUUGCCAUCUCCUGAGUCCCGUUUUGUCGUACGACCAACAAACCAAACAAUCAAACAAAACAAACAGAUCAGACUGAUCUCCUGUUCUAUCACGGUCCGGUCUUCCACUGACUGACGUCAAUUUGUUGUUUUCUCUUUCCCGGUCCUUGGUUAAUUACUAAUACAAUUGCUGUGCUUCUGUUUCUUCUGCUUCUGCUACCAUUGCAGUAUUACUACUGUCGACCUCCUCCUUGGUCCAGUUUUGAAUGUCUACAUAUAUGUUGGAUAUAUCUAUGUGCCUACCCUACUACUUUUUAUGUCUAUGCACGCGGUGAAUCUAAGGGUUGAUGUUGGUUUUAAGCUUGAUCGAUUGAAUCUUUGUGUGGUGUUUGCAUUAUUUGAAUUGGGUGUUUAGAAUUUACAGCAAACACUCCAUGUGAUCCGAUUUUGAAACUUUAGUUAUAAAUAAUAAAAAAGCAAGCUUUCUUUUCAGACUACUACUGCAGGUAUAUUUAGUGUUAAUAAAAAAAGCAGAUGGUUUAAUUUAAUUUAUUAUAUAUGCGUUUUGAUCUCUUCAUCAAAUCAACAUGAUUUUUUUUUUCUUUCUUUCUUAAUUUCUUUAUGACAGCUGGUCAAUAUUGAAUGAAUGGAGGGAUGAUCCGGCCAUGUGUUUCUUGAUGCACGUACACAUAUCAUCACUGUUGCCUACAUGCUUUUUCAUGUUUGGAUUGUUGGGU